UACGUAGGGUGCGAGCGUUAAUCGGAAUUACUGGGCGUAAAGCGUGCGCAGGCGGUUAUGUAAGACAGGUGUGAAAUCCCCGGGCUUAACCUGGGAACUGCAUUUGUGACUGCAUAGCUAGAGUACGGUAGAGGGGGAUGGAAUUCCGCGUGUAGCAGUGAAAUGCGUAGAUAUGCGGGGGAACACCGAUGGCGAAGGCAAUCCCCUGGACCUGUACUGACGCUCAUGCACGAAAGCGUGGGGAGCAAACAGG
rnacentral:rRNA from 1 species